rnacentral:lncRNA from 1 species
UUAUCCAGUGGCGUGGCGUGAUUUGCGAUACAUCGAUUGUAAUGCCAUUUAAACCUAUGGAAAAGGAUCGAUAAACAGGGUGUUCGCAGCGAACACCUUAGUAAUCGAUUCUUUACCAUAGCUUCAAAUGGCGAGAUAUCGAUAAUCGAUUAAUCACGCCACGCCACUGCAGUUAUCGUCUUUGUAUGAAAAGCAUCGGCGGAUCCAACAAUUUGGCAACACCAGAUUUCCUCCAUUUAAACCUAUGGAAAUGUAUCGAUUCUUGGAGGGCCCAGGUACCCCGACAAGAAUCGAUUAUUUAACAUAGGUUUAAAUGGAGGAACCCUGGUGUUGCCAAAUUGCUGGAUCCGCCUCUGAUGAAAAGUUGAAAGCUUUGACGGGAACCCCAAUACCCCCUCUCACAUUGACAUAAUGUCCCGGCGUGGACGCAGCGUCCGGAAAGUUACAACAAGCUCAUUGCCCGACUUGGACCUGAGGCUGGGUUGUGAACACUUCACUCGAAAGCAAAAGUGUUUUUGGUAAGCUCCCACAGCAUGCAAGCACUUUCUACAUGACAACCGCGCUUUCAGACGACUUCCUGAUCAUUUUCGGCCCCGUGCGUAUUUGCGCUAUCCAGUGGCCGUUUCAAAUUAGGCGAAUGUCAAUCUCAUCUUCCUCAAGGGUGGCCGUGCAUCCUUGUUCCCGGAUUGCCUCCAUCCUGCCCGUAUUUGAACUAUCUUUCAGAUCACCCGCGACUAUCCAGUGAAGAUGUAGUGUCAGUGAAGCACGAAACGGAUUACGAAAAAAAGCGCAGUUCGAGAUAUUCGAGCAACUUCGUCAUCAACUACAGAACUAUUAACCAGAAAGCACAGGUACUCGAAUAUUCUCGAGAAAUUGAGGUGCAUGUCGGCCCCGAAACAAUUUUUAUGACGCACAGACUGCAUACAGGCCUACAGUACGGACGAUGACAGUCAACGAUGGAGAUGAGAAAUUAUCAAUCUUCGGCGAGCAAAACCCGAGCCACGAGUUCGACAAGGCUUUGGAAUCGAUCAAUCGCAACAAGAGGGAUGGCUCUUCAUUUUCUUCCUCCUCGUCUCGAUGCCGGGGAUCCUCAACGCCAUCCACAUCUCAGUGUAUGUAUUUUUCACGGGCACACCGGAACACUGGUGCACCAUACCCCAACUUGAAAAUGCCGGUUGGACUCCCGCUGAGAUUAGAAAUUUCACAGUUCCCAGAGAUUCAAAAGACAUAUUACGGAGCUGUGGCUACUAUGAUUGGAACUACACAGAGAUAG